GCUACAGAAGCAGAGCUUGGCCCUGGAGAUGGGGGGGGGGGUCUUCCAGCCCAUUCUCCCCCCACCCCAUAUUAGCCGAUCAGCCGUGGCACAGCUGUAGCUUCUGCUCAGCUGGGUGCAUCCCUGCCCCCUCCCCAGAAACUAUAACCCCCCCCUAAACCCUUCCCCUCCACAUACACUCCCCUGGGGGAAAUUCACCCGCUGACGUCACAAGGAGCCAAAACUUUGGCAUUAUCAAGUCAUCGCCCCUCCCCCACUCGCAAUCAACCUCGUCUGUAAAGACUCGCCCCCCCCCUCAACCGCUCCCCCCGAAAGCAGCCAGAGAACUCAAUGCAAGCCGGGGGAGGGGGCGCCUGUGACUACUGCCCCACUCCAAACAGAACUGGGGGGGCAGGGGGGAGCACUGCAAAGCAGGGGUGUCAUUUCAGACAAAUUCCGGGGGGGGGGGAGUUGUGUGCAGCCUCAAGAACAUUACAGCAGUGUCAUUGGACCAGCCAAGAUUGGAGCUCCAAACACAGUCAGGACCAGAUUCUGAUCCGUGACAUUGAGUUAAAUCUGGAGUGACUUCAGCAAGAGGAGGGAAUCAUGGCCCAAUUUGUAUCUCAGUUACACCAUCUGGCCUCACUGCACAUGUCCACGUUGUUAAGCUCCAUUGGGAGGGAGAGCAGCGCUGAGGGGUCGGAUUGCUGUACGGGAAGGUGUUGAUGGCUGCACAGUUGCAGAUCCAAAGCUGCUACCUCUGCUGCCAGAUGGUCACUGAUAAAAAUGUUAAACAGCAUCACCAAGAACCGAUCCCUGCGGGACCCCCCUGGAAACAGACCCGCUCGAUGUUGAUUCUCCGUGUACCGUUACAUUCUGAGACCUGUCGGAUAGCCAGUCUGUAAUCUAUUUAAUGUUUGCCGUGGUAACUUUAAAUCGUUCUAGUUUUUAAAUCAAAAUAUCGUGCGGUACACGUCAAAUGCCCUACAGAAGUCUGAGUAUAUUACACCGAUGCGGUUACCUUUAUCCACCAAACUUGUAAACUCAUCCAAAAAAAGGUAUCAAAUUAGUUUGACAGGAGCUAUUUUCCAUAAACCCAUGUUGAUUGGCAUUAAUUACAUCACCCUCCUUUAAGUCUUGCUUAAUCAAGUCCUGCAUCAGCUGCUCCAUUACCUUGCUCAGGAUGGAUGUUUGUCAGGAUGACAGACCCAUAAUUCCCCGGGUCAUCCCAUUUACACUUCGCACAACAGAAGCUUUCUUCCAGUCUUCUGGGAUUUCUCUGGUGUGCCAAGACUUAUUGAAAA